UACGGAGGGUGCAAGCGUUAUCCGGAUUCACUGGGUUUAAAGGGUGCGUAGGCGGGCAGGUAAGUCCGUGGUGAAAUCUCUGAGCUUAACUCAGAAACUGCCAUGGAUACUAUUUGUCUUGAAUGUUGUGGAGGUAAGCGGAAUAUGUCAUGUAGCGGUGAAAUGCUUAGAUAUGACAUAGAACACCCAUUACGAAGGCAGCUUACUACACAAAUAUUGACGCUGAGGCACGAAAGCGUGGGGAUCAAACAGG
rnacentral:rRNA from 1 species